rnacentral:rRNA from 1 species
UACAGAGGGGGCGAGCGUUGUUCGGAAUUACUGGGCGUAAAGGGCUCGUAGGCGGCCAACUAAGUCGGACGUGAAAUCCCUCAGCUUAACUGGGGAACUGCGUCCGAUACUGGAUGGCUUGGAUUUGGGAGAGGGAUGCGGAAUUCCAGGUGUAGCGGUGAAAUGCGUAGAUAUCUGGAGGAACACCGGUGGCGAAGGCGGCAUCCUGGACCAGUAUUGACACUGAGGCGGAGAAGCAAGGGCGAGGAACAAGGA